rnacentral:lncRNA from 1 species
AUCAGUUUAGUAAUGACUAGUAUAUUAUAUCCCUUUCGAACACGCAAGACAGAGAUGUAUAUUAUACACCUGAUAGUUCAAAAUGGAAAGUUAUAAGUAAUCGGCCGUGUACACUGAUCAAUACCCUCAGAAGUGAAACGAUGCAUGAACUUGCAAGCCCGACAGGAAAUCGCUUGAAUACCUGGACGUGUCAACUAACACCCCUCACAUUACCUUUGGGAGUAAUACCUUUAGCCAUGCUAGUGAUCAGAUGAGGGAAGAUCCGUAUUUAUUUGAAUAAAAUUUAUUAUUUAAAAGAAUUAAACAAAUUAGAUCUUCGAAAACAAUUUUAACGGAAGACUUAUUUAUGAUUUGAACUUUGACUUUUAAACUAAUUCCAAUAUUAGCAGUUUAAAAAUAACAGACCAUGGUUAUUUAAAAAAAAAUAUAAGAACAUUUUCCGUAUCAAGUUAGUUAGUCGGACAAAACAACCGUACGAUUGACAAGAUAUCGACA